GUUGCUCUGCAUCCGUUGUCACAAUUUUUGGAUUCCUAGUCCCAUCAUAUAAAUUUUUCCCUGCCUCCCAGUCUAGGCUUCAUUUUUUAAACAGAAACAGAACCUGAGUAAAUGGACCUCUCACCUCAGAAUAUUUUACAUCUUGUCAUGACACCACAGACCUGCAGGAAUCUCAGUGGAGGGAAGUUUCUGUCCAGAAUUUAAAAGUGUUUACUUUGCUCCUGCUGCUUUUCAUCCCUUUUCUCUCCUCCUGGUGUGUAUUUUCCUGCCCUGCUGACUGUGGUGUUGCAUACUAAUGGAGUAAUACUUGGCCCAUCCCCAGAGGAAGUUGUGUGCAGGUUUAUUGAGGAACAGAGGGGUCAGGAGGAAUUUCAGCGCAUCCAAUAACUCUCCUACUGGUGAGAUGCCUUCAGAUCCCAGGAACUUUGCCAGCUGUUCUCAGCUGUGGUGUGACUUCCCCUGUCAACAUUCUCCCUGCAGGAUAUCCCAUGGUCUGAGGCAAGGAGCCCUUCCUUGGGAAGGGAACUUGAACCCAUCCAGAGCAGGAGCUGAAGGGAGCCCAACAUCUCUCACUUUCCUGGACUUAAGUGCUGAGCCCAUGUGAGCUGUGCCUGCACUAACAGAACUGCAAGACUCAGUGCAGGAGAAGCAAUCAAGGAUGGAGUGACAACAAAAGCACCAGAUGCCACUGAUGCCUCUUCCACACUUCAGUCCCCAGGCAUCACAGCAGAACAAGGAACCCUCCUGACUCCAGGGUUUCCUAGUAAAGACAGAUUUGAAGAGGCACAGCCACUCUCCUAAGAGAUUAAAAAUAAAGUGCUGACAAAUUCUAUUGUCA
rnacentral:lncRNA from 1 species